GGUCAGUCUGACACACACAGGCACGGACAACUGAUUAACAGGCAUCUAAGCUACUACAAGCCAUGUUCAUGAACCACAGGGCAGAAAACACACACCAAAAAAAAUGAUCUGCACCUAAAAGUGAAAACCCACUAAAAAUAAAACGCAGCGCUAAAAAGGCCUUAUAUCACAACCCUGUUGCAUUCCUGCAUUCCACAGCAUUACAUCCAACUACUAAUGGAUUAAAAAAUAAAUAAAAAAAAAAAAAAAAAGGCAUGCCGUUCCUUAAUAAAUGAAAUGGAUAGGAUUGGAAAUUCGCUGUGGUAUAAGGGGAACAGAGCAGGAGCUGUUAUUAAAGAAUAAUCAUCAACUUUGAGGUGUGGAUGGCCGUCUACUUCAGGUUGGGACACGUCACACCACCCUGUCAUUGCUUAUUUUCCAACGACGGCGCAACCUAUCGCGUUUUAUUCCUCAAACGAUGAAAUUUCACUCAGAAGCACAAGCCGAAUCUGUAAGAAACAGGUAAACGUGAAGGAACAACGAGUAGCUUAAGGUCCUGGAGAGAAAAAGUAAACAUGUGCUGAGAGAGAAAAAGAUACGAGGAAAAAACAUACACGAGCAAUAGAACACGGCCAACCUGGGUAAACGUGACCGUUGAAGCGCGCGGCGCAAUGAGCUCGGCUCAGAUAAAUACGUGGAUAGUAUAAGCAUGCACUGAAUAAAAUCUGGGUAGACGGUGACGAAAUCGUGAGGUCAUUCUUCAUACUCAAAGAGGUAAAGAGGCAAUUUCAGAUGUUUGAGGGGGAAAAAAAAAAAAGGGAAGAAGAAGAAAAGACGUCUAAGAGGGGAACGUGAACUCCAAACACACACACACACACACACAUAGAUGCACACACACUGCACUCAGGCUCCAGUGCAGGAGCAGCCCCACUCACAGGUGUACAUGCUGCUGCGUUGCCACAGCAAGGUUCUGGCUCUGCCUGCACAAAUAGGUGAUCUGCAUCUGGUGCUGCUCUCGGUUAUGUUCUAGUUGACUACGCAGCCACUGCAGCUCCUCCAGCAGCCACACGAGCUUCCUGACACAGCAAUGGCGCAUAGCAGAGGCAUCGACAUGCUUAAGUUAGCAGCUCUACCGCUAAUCGAUCCUGUGAUGUGCACGGCUUCCGAUCGCGAAUGAUCGGAUCUUUCCAGUGCAAAAAGUAACCCGGGACACGGAGUCAGCGGGCAUGUGCGUUUUUUUUUUUUUUUUUAAUUCCUGCAUAGAAGUGCAUUGGAGUGACAUAACAGGCUAAAACUCUUUAAAAAUGUUUUGUUUGUGAGUUCCAGAACAUGCUAUUUUCGGAGGAUUUACUAUGCAGUGACCUUGAAGAAAAGUUCUUUAAACUGUGUGUGUGUGUGUGUGUGUGUGUGUGAAAGCAUGGAGGCUCACCUCUGAGCCAGCUCGAGUCCCGAAAGCUCGUCGUUUUCUACACGAGGAUCUGCUGGGUAGUGAAAGUGACGUGAUUAGGUGAAUGGCAGUACACUGAGACAUAUGUGAAGCCUAUCCUCCAGACUGGCGGCAUGUCUCCGAGUGGCCUCAUGCUCCUCCCUCAGACGCUCCAUCUUCCGUGCCAUGCUGUCAAUCAGUUCCGGCCCGACCCCUGG